rnacentral:rRNA from 1 species
GACGAACGCUGGCGGCGUGCUUAACACAUGCAAGUCGAACGGAAAGGCCCUGCUUUUGUGGGGUUCUCGAGUGGCGAACGGGUGAGUAACACGUGAGUAACCUGCCCUUGACUUUGGGAUAACUUCAGGAAACUGGGGCUAAUACCGGAUAGGAGCUCCUGCUGCAUGGUGGGGGUGGGAAAGUUUCGGCGGUUGGGGAUGGACUCGCGGCUUAUCAGCUUGUUGGUGGGGUAGUGGCUUACCAAGGCUUUGACGGGUAGCCGGCCUGAGAGGGUGACCGGCCACAUUGGGACUGAGAUACGGCCCAGACUCCUACGGGAGGCAGCAGUGGGGAAUAUUGCACAAUGGGCGGAAGCCUGAUGCAGCAACGCCGCGUGCGGGAUGACGGCCUUCGGGUUGUAAACCGCUUUCGCCUGUGACGAGGCGUGAGUGACGGUAAUGGGUAAAGAAGCACCGGCUAACUACGUG